CAAUGCAAAGCGAACAGAACUGAGUAGGGGAGGACCGCGGUCCGUGUACUUUGCGGCCAAUGGAUUUUCGUUUUGAAAUGAGAAAACCAAAAUCGGGAAACGAGCUGUAUCCCGAAUACCAUAUAGAGAUAGGAAAACAAAAAUCCGAAAAUGACCCAUUUUCCGAAUUUUGUUUUGAUAAUAGAAAACGGAAAACGGUAAAACGACCAGUUAUCUGAUUUUCUUUGAUGUGCUUAAACAUGGACAUCGGGAAUUAAAAUACUGCGUGGAAAUCUUCUUUCUCAAUUUUGCAAAGAUUUUGUGUUGUGACCCGGAAGUUGCUCUCACAAGCUUAACCGUUACAUCUAAUUAAGCAUGGAAUGGAAAUGGAGAGCUUCAUAUUGUUUCGCGGACCCAAACGGCUGACUAUGAAGCAAGAGGACAUGUCUGCAGACAAAAUUUGCAGGAUUUUUCAGGUCAGUUGCAGCAGUCUUUAUAUCACGGACGACUCCAACACGGCAAUAUUUCCAGAGCCAGCAGGCCAUUUUUCAAUAAUUAAUCUAACUAAUCGCAGUCAUUAUGAGGUCCACGGCGAUGCAGAGCACCUUCCACCCGCUGCUGGUGCUCCUGCUUUUGGGUUCAUGCGCCGACCCUCACCGGCUUCUGCUUCUGCCACAUCUUUUUCUGCGUCUGGUUUUUCCACUGAAACACCACCACCACCACCACGAGCUGGAACUCCACGAGCUAGUGGAGCUAGCUUGUUCCAGGGAAGAUCAUUCCAAAGGUCAAUCCAUCUGGCAGAAAUUGUUAAUGAGAAACUCAGUCCUUCCAGGACAGUAGUUGUGCGCUUUUGGAAG